rnacentral:rRNA from 1 species
UAGGGAAUCUUCGGCAAUGGACGAAAGUCUGACCGAGCAACGCCGCGUGAGUGAAGAAGGUUUUCGGAUCGUAAAACUCUGUUGUUAGAGAAGAACAAGGACGUUAGUAACUGAACGUCCCCUGACGGUAUCUAACCAGAAAGCCACGGCUAACUACGUGCCAGCAGCCGCGGUAAUACGUAGGUGGCAAGCGUUGUCCGGAUUUAUUGGGCGUAAAGCGAGCGCAGGCGGUUUCUUAAGUCUGAUGUGAAAGCCCCCGGCUCAACCGGGGAGGGUCAUUGGAAACUGGGAGACUGGAGUGCAGAGGAGGAGAGUGGAAUUCCAUGUGUAGCGGUGAAAGGCGUAGAUAUAUGGAGGAACACCAGUGGCGAAGGCGGCUCUCUGGUCUGUAACUGACGCUGAGGCUCGAAAGCGUGGGGAGCAAACAGG